ensembl:lncRNA
UUAUUAUUUUGAGACAAUUUUCAAAUUUAAAGUGCCACAAUUGUCCAAUCCUCCAAAGGUCAUGGCAUCCUCCACAAUGUGCAACAUUGAGUGCACGUUAUAGACCAGAAACUGGUUACCAUAAAGUUCUCGGCCUAUAUCAACAAAGAAUCUGAGGAGAUCAGCAGCAUAUCUCCAGUGUUGGUCGACCAAUGCUGGACUUACAAGACGUUCACUCCUCUGCACCACAUGAAGAGAAGCCUCUUCAUUACACUCAAUGGGAAAUGCACUGAUCAUGUUUAUGUUCAAAUCCAAAAGCGGGGUGCUACCAUGAUGAUGCAUGCCCUGUGUCUGUUGGUGGAAGGAGUCGUCGCUAUGAGCCACCGGCUCUGGGGCUUGGCCACUGGACUGGUUGUUGACGUCCAUCACCAUGUCUUCCAGGAAUUCCAGAUUCUGUGGCUUAGCACCACCACAAGUCAGGGUGAUGGGGAAGACACUGAUUUUCAAUGGACAGCACAAAGAAUGGGCCACAUUGUUCUUCCUGAGCUCUUAAACAGGGGUAGCCCAUCUACGUUGAAGGAAAGGUCAACACAGUCAGGGACCUGAGCCUCGUUUCCCGAAAGCGUUGUUAGCCUAAGUGAAUCGUGAAGUACUCCAGGGUUACUCGUAGGUACUCGUAGGACGCUAAGAGCAUCGUUAGCCUACUAUCAGUGGCGUCACCAUCGGACAUUCCGUG